GAACAUGCCACCAAAAACACGCCUCCAUAAACAGCCUCAGACUCCUGCUCAACACCAUGUUCCGGGCAGCAAGGCUGAGCCCUGCAGGUAUCGCUUUAAAGGCCCAGAAAUCACCAAUGCACAUUCCUAGAAUCAGAGUCUGAGCACCCUGGGACGUCCCUCCUGCCACACUGCCUCCGCUCCGUGUGCACGCAUGCCCCGGCUUGAAAGCUCCAGGAGGUUGGAAAAUCACCAAGAAAGCUGACCUCUGCUUGUCCCAGAGCUAAUCAUCCUUCGAAAGAGGAACUUGAGAGAAAAUGGAAACAACAGUUUGCGGCACAGGCUGUGGUGGGCAGGGAGCACCCCUGGCCAAUCCCCUUCCUGAGCUGGCCCUGCUGUGAUGCUACAAACCUCCACUGGGUGCAGUGGGCACCUGCACGCCUCCCCGCAGGAGACUGGGCAGGACACCUGCAGGUCCCACAGAUUUCCUUCUC